rnacentral:lncRNA from 1 species
AGAGAGAGAGAGAGAGAGAGAGAGAGAGCUCAAGCAAUCAACCAAGAAAUGAAACACCAACUUGAGAUCUCAAACCAGAGCAAGAAAGAACAUAAAUCAAAAGCGACACUCACGGGCAAAUCAGGGAGAUAAUCCGUGAAGUGAGGAACAUCUUCAAGAAUAUAACCCAUAUCGCCUUCGACGAUCUUGAGAUCAGAUUUCUUCACGAGCAGCCCCAUCCUGCUGGGAGAUCUGACCUUCCGACGGUCUCCAAAUGGCGGCGAGUCUUCGACGCAGGUGAGAGAAUUCUGCAAAAAUUGAAGAUCGCUCACGCUUCGUCAAAUCCAAGUCGGAAUGUAUCGGGGGAUUAUAAAAGGGAGGAGCAAGGGGGGUUGAAUUGCUUUUCAAAAGAAGCAAAAAAUAAAAGAACUUGUGGGCGGUGGCGGACAGGGGGAACCCAUCCGGUGUCACGCGGAAACUGAAACAAAACCACGGAAAAUGCAAUUUUCCACGACGGGUUCGGGUUGUAUCUUCCGCAGGAAAGAAUGAUUGAUCUUCUUUCGCGACAUGGACCGUUGGAUGGCACUCCGAACAGCUCCCAAAGCAAUCCCGACUCCGUCAGUCGCGGUCUGCACAUAUCUCG